rnacentral:rRNA from 1 species
CCCGCUGAACUUAAGCAUAUCAAUAAGCGGAGGAAAAGAAACUAACAAGGAUUCCCCUAGUAACGGCGAGUGAAGCGGGAUGAGCUCAAAUUUAAAAUCUGGUAGUCUUCUGGCUACCCGAGUUGUAAUCUAGAGAAGUGUUUUCUGUGCUGGACUGUGUACAAGUUUCCUGGAUACGGAACAUCAUAGAGGGUGAGAAUCCCGUCCUUGACACAGGCCCCCAGUGCUUUGUGAUGCACUCUCGACGAGUCGAGUUGUUUGGGAUUGCAGCUCAAAAUGGGAGGUAAAUUCCUUCUAAAGCUAAAUAUUGGCGAGAGACCGAUAGCGAACAAGUACCGUGAGGGAAAGAUGAAAAGAACUUUGAAAAGAGAGUUAAAAAGUACGUGAAAUUGUUGAAAGGGAACCGUUUGAAGCCAGUCUUGCUUGCUUGUGAUCAAUCUUUGCUUCGGCUUGGAUGCACUCUCAGGUUAUGCAGGUCAACGUCAGUUUGAGAGGUGGGAAAAAAGCUUGAGGAAUGUGGCCUUCGGGUGUUAUAGCCUCUUGCUAAAUACCAUCUUUUGGACUGAGGCUCGCAGCAAAAAUGUGGGCAGGUUUGCGUUUGAGGUGAUACAUUAUUAAGACAGCUUGCUGACUUAGUUUUGUCUAUCUUCACUGUAAGCUUCGCUUCUAAUUUGCUUAGGUCGUUGACAUAAUGGCUUUAAAUGACCCGUCUUGAAACACGG